rnacentral:rRNA from 1 species
GCAAGUCGAACGGUAAGGCUCCAGCUUGCUGGGGUACACGAGUGGCGAACGGGUGAGUAACACGUGGGUGACCUGCCCUGCACUUCGGGAUAAGCCUGGGAAACUGGGUCUAAUACCGGAUAGGACCGCACUGUGAGGGUGUGGUGGAAAGUUUUUUCGGUGUGGGAUGGGCCCGCGGCCUAUCAGCUUGUUGGUGGGGUAAUGGCCUACCAAGGCGGCGACGGGUAGCCGGCCUGAGAGGGUGAACGGCCACAUUGGGACUGAGACACGGCCCAGACUCCUACGGGAGGCAGCAGUGGGGAAUAUUGCACAAUGGGCGGAAGCCUGAUGCAGCGACGCCGCGUGGGGGAUGACGGCCUUCGGGUUGUAAACUCCUUUCACCAUCGACGAAGGGUUUCUGACGGUAGAUGGAGAAGAAGCACCGGCUAACUACGUGCCAGCAGCCGCGGUAAUACGUAGGGUGCGAGCGUUGUCCGGAAUUACUGGGCGUAAAGAGCUCGUAGGUGGUUUGUCGCGUCGUCUGUGAAAUUCCGGGGCUUAACUCCGGGCGUGCAGGCGAUACGGGCAUAACUUGAGUACUGUAGGGGAGACUGGAAUUCCUGGUGUAGCGGUGAAAUGCGCAGAUAUCAGGAGGAACACCGGUGGCGAAGGCGGGUCUCUGGGCAGUAACUGACGCUGAGGAGCGAAAGCAUGGGGAGCGAACAGGAUUAGAUACCCUGGUAGUCCAUGCCGUAAACGGUGGGCGCUAGGUGUGGGUUUCCUUCCACGGGAUCCGUGCCGUAGCUAACGCAUUAAGCGCCCCGCCUGGGGAGUACGGCCGCAAGGCUAAACUCAAUGAAUUGACGGAA